AUAUAAUAAAUUCGGGUUCGGGUACAGUCAAAAUGCAUAUCCGAAUCCAUAUCCGUCAGGUUAAUUUUUAUUUUUGAUAUCCAUAUCCGAAUCCAUAUCCAUAUCCAUCGGAUAUAUCCAUUUCAUUCGGGUUCGGGUUCGAGUUCGAAUAAAAUUUCGGAUAUCCAUAUCUAUUGACAUCCCUAAUAACAAUUUAAGUAUAUCACUAUUAACAGAUAAAUUUAUUCAAUUUAAUUACUAU
rnacentral:lncRNA from 1 species